rnacentral:rRNA from 1 species
UGAGAGUUUGAUCCUGGCUCAGAGCGAACGCUGGCGGCAGGCCUAACACAUGCAAGUCGAGCGCGUGUAGCAAUACACGAGCGGCAGACGGGAGAGUAACACGUGGGAACGUACCCUUCGGUUCGGAAUAACCCAGGGAAACUUGGACUAAUACCGGAUACGUCCGAAAGGAGAAAGAUUUAUCGCCGAAAGAUCGGCCCGCGGCUGAUUAGCUAGUUGGUGAGGUAACGGCUCACCAA